UACGUAGGGUGCAAGCGUUAAUCGGAAUUACUGGGCGUAAAGCGUGCGCAGGCGGUUUUGUAAGUCUGUCGUGAAAUCCCCGGGCUCAACCUGGGAAUUGCGAUGGAGACUGCAAGGCUAGAAUCUGGCAGAGGGGGUAGAAUUCCACGUGUAGCAGUGAAAUGCGUAGAGAUGUGGAGGAACACCGAUGGCGAAGGCAGCCCCCUGGGUCAAGAUUGAC
rnacentral:rRNA from 1 species